AGAGUUUGAUCAUGGCUCAGGACGAACGCUGGCGGCGUGCCUAACACAUGCAAGUCGAGCGGGAGACUUCGGUCUCCAGCGGCGGACGGGUGAGUAACACGUGGGUAACCUGCCUUGUAGAGGGGGAUAGCCUUCCGAAAGGAAGAUUAAUACCGCAUAACAUUAUGCUUUUGCAUGAGAGUAUAAUCAAAGGAGCAAUCCGCUACAAGAUGGACCCGCGGCGCAUUAGCUAGUUGGUGAGGUAACGGCUCACCAAGGCGACGAUGCGUAGCCGGCCUGAGAGGGUGAACGGCCACAUUGGAACUGAGACACGGUCCAGACUCCUACGGGAGGCAGCAGUGGGGAAUAUUGCACAAUGGGCGAAAGCCUGAUGCAGCAACGCCGCGUGAGUGAUGAAGGCCUUCGGGUUGUAAAGCUCUGUCUUCUGGGACGAUAAUGACGGUACCAGAGGAGGAAGCCACGGCUAACUACGUGCCAGCAGCCGCGGUAAUACGUAGGUGGCAAGCGUUGUCCGGAUUUACUGGGCGUAAAGGAUGCGUAGGCGGAUGCUUAAGUCAGAUGUGAAAAUCCCGGGCUCAACUUGGGAACUGCAUUUGAAACUGGGUAUCUAGAGUGCGGGAGAGGAGAGUGGAAUUCCUAGUGUAGCGGUGAAAUGCGUAGAGAUUAGGAAGAACACCAGUGGCGAAGGCGACUCUCUGGACCGUAACUGACGCUGAGGCAUGAAAGCGUGGGGAGCAAACAGGAUUAGAUACCCUGGUAGUCCACGCCGUAAACUAUGAAUACUAGGUGUGGGAGUUAUCAUGACUUCCGUGCCGCAGUUAACACAAUAAGUAUUCCGCCUGGGGAGUACGGUCGCAAGAUUAAAACUCAAAGGAAUUGACGG
rnacentral:rRNA from 1 species